AAUUUGAAUGGUGGUUGUUUGGCAAUUUUGCUUUGGUCAUUUGACAUCACGGAUUGUUUACAUGUUUUCCGUGCUUUUAAAUUUGGGAUUGGUGGCAAAUAGAUGAGCCAGAGCUUCCAAGAAAGUUGCUGGGUAUUCUAGUUCCAGUGUAGAGGCAGAGAUGACUUAGUUGCUAUAUUUCCAGCAAACAUGGCAAGAAAUCCGUCCAAAAAUAGGGUUAAACUACCUUGUUUUCUUUCUUAUUUUUCUGUCCUUCAUUCUCUUCUUGUUUAAGCUCACUAGAAGUCGCAAACUCAAUUUACCUCCAUCCCCCCCAAAGCUGCCUGUAAUCGGCAACAUUCACCAUUUCGGCACACUGCCACAUCGUUCUUUACAAGCUCUCUCGGAAAAAUAUGGCCCUUUAAUGCUUUUGCGCAUGGGGCAUGUUCCAACUCUCAUCGUUUCAUCUGCCGAGGCAGCUAGUGAAAUUAUGAAGACCCAUGAUAUUGUUUUCGCAAACCGACCCCAAACCACAGCUGCAAGUAUCUUUUUUCAUGGUUGUGUAGAUGUUGGUUUUGCUCCUUUUGGUGAGUACUGGAGAAAAGUCAAGAAGAUUAGUGUUCAAGAACUUUUGGGCCCGAAAACGGUGCAAUCAUUUCACCACGUAAGAGAAGAAGAAGCUGCAGGCUUGAUUGAUAAAAUUCGUUUUGCUUGUCAUAGUGGGACUUCUGUUAAUAUAAGUGAGAUGCUGAUCUCUGUCUCAAGCGAUAUCGUUUCCAGAUGUGUUCUGGGUCGGAAGGCCGACAAGGAAGGUGGCAACAGCAAGUUUGGAGAGUUGACGAGGACAUUUAUGGUUCAAUUGACAGCAUUUAGUUUUGGGGAUUUAUUCCCUUACUUGGGAUGGAUGGACACUCUCACAGGCUUGAUCCCACGGUUGAAAGCAACUUCGAGGGCAUUAGAUUCCUUUCUUGAUCAGGUGAUUGAAGAGCAUAGGAGUUUGGAAAGUGAUGGUGACAGGUGUGCUCAGACUGAUUUUCUGCAAGCUCUCCUCCAACUUCAGAAGAAUGGCAAGCUUGAUGUGCAGCUCACACGAGACAAUAUCAUAGCAGUUGUUUUGGUAUCUCUCACUAUACCUCUCGUAGCAAAAUUAAGAUUUCAUUGUCUUUGUUGUUCUCGUUUUCUAAAUUUCCUUGAGCAUCAACCUUUCCAUUUUGAAAAAUCUCAGGACAUGUUUGUGGGAGGAACUGAUACAAGCUCGACAAUGAUGGAAUGGGCGAUUGCAGAGCUUGUAAGGAAUCAAACUAUCAUGAGGAAAGCCCAAGAAGAGGUCAGGAGAAUAGUAGGGAAGAAAUCGAAGGUAGAAGCAAAUGAUAUAGAAGAGAUGGGAUAUUUGAAAUGUAUCAUCAAAGAGACUCUCAGGCUUCAUCCCGCUGCCCCUCUGCUGGUUCCUAGAGAAACAUCAGCAAGUUUUGAAUUGGGAGGCUACUACAUUCCUCCCAAGACAAGAGUUCUUGUGAACGCAUUUGCCAUUCAAAGGGACCCUAGCUUCUGGGACAGACCUGAUGAGUUUCUCCCAGAAAGGUUUGAGAACAACCCAGUUGAUUUCAAAGGCCAGGACUUUCAAUUCAUUCCAUUUGGUAGCGGGAGAAGGGGUUGCCCUGGGGCCCUAUUUGGGGUCACUGCAGUUGAAUUUAUGAUUGCCAAUCUCCUAUAUUGGUUCGACUGGAGGUUGCCUGAUGGCGCAACUCAAGAGGAAUUGGACAUGAGUGAGAUCUGUGGAAUGACUGCUUACAAGAAGACCCCUCUUCUUCUUGUACCUUCAUUAUACUCGCCCUGAGCAAUCCGAAGAUCAUGCUUUUCCUGUCAUGGCUUAAAGAAGCUCUGGUUCUCAUCUUCCUAAACUAGAAAUAAAAAGAAAAUAAAAGAACCCUUUAUGUAACUCGAAAGUUAAAACAAUGAAUAAGUAAACCUCUUCUUGGUUUCUUGCUAUUGCUGGCCGCGUGAAAAAAUUACUAAACUAAGUUGCAGCAAUGGCUAUACUGCCAGAUUUGCAACAAAACACGGCAAGAUUUACACAAAGCAAAGCGCUCCCUUCUUUUCUUUUCCUUCUUCUUCCCUUGUGCUUUCUACUUCUCAUGUACAACCGAAGCUGCCUGUAAUUUGCAACUUUCACCAACCAGGCUAACUCCCCCCAUCUUUCUCUCCAAGCACUCUUGAAAAAAAGUAUGGCCAUUUGCUCUUGCAUCCGGAGCAUACUCCGACUCUAGCGGUUUUCUCUGCGGUGAUGACUAGAGAAAUGAUUGAGAACCAUGAUCUUUCUUUCUCAAACCGACCCAAAACAAAAGCUGAGACCAAUACUGUUUUGAUUAGAAAAAAAAAAGGGCUCGUACUGUAUGGGACGCGGUUAAAAAAAGGUAAGAUGAUUGGAAAGGAUGUAAUAAUUGUUUUUUAAAGUAUUUUUAUUUAAAAAUAUAUUAAAAUAAUAUUUUUUUAUUUUUAAAAUAAUUUUUAAUAUAUAUAUAUAUAAAAUAUAUAUAUAUAUAAAACAAGAAUUUUAAACAAAAAAAUCAUAUUAAAAAAUAAACCAUUUCAAAUACGUUACCAAAUUGCCUCUAAAGUUGCAACUAGUGCACUUAUCCAAAGGGAAUUUUUAAAUUUUUAUUCAAUAUUAAAGAGUAUUUUUGGACUAAUUUACAUGUCAGUUGAAACUAAACUUCUUUUUGUGAUAAUGUUAAAAGUCACGGCGGCGCGACAUCGUUUGGCGACAGCGGAAGUUUUUUGUCGUGCCUCCUGUGUGAGAUGUUGUGUGUUGAAAAUUUUUUUUGGAUUUAAUUAUAAAAUUAUGAUUAAUAUUUAGGAGUCGCCACCUAGUAUUAUGGUCACUAGGAACCUAUGGUCUGCGAGAGUUCGGGUAAGGGAUUGGUUGUGCAAGGGGAAGACGCAUCACUCCAGUGCACCGUACCUAAGGUAAGCUGCAUUGUUGUUUGAUUGUUUUUUCUAAAUCGGGUUUCUAGUCGUUGGUCUUUUCUAAGGUUCAAAGCAGAUUUCACUUCGUGAGAAAGUCUCCAUCUUAUCGGGUUAAAUCCUAACCAUUCUAAAAUCUGAAUUUUAGCAUCGCAUUUUUACACCUUGUAUCUUUAAUACCUGAGGGUGUACUUUAUCAUGUAAUUUUACACCCCAUAAAUAUUAAAGUCUACAUCUGGAUCCUAAAAAAAGAUUGAAAAAAGAUUUUUGACAUGUUGGCCAAAUCCUAAUGGAUAAUCAUAAACUAGUUACGAUAUUUAUUUUUGGAUUUUUUUAAAACAUGAAAAAGAUGCAAUUUUUAUUUUUUUUUAUGAAAAAUAUGCUUGGAAAAAUUUUAGGAUUUGGCCGGAUGCAACAAAUUUUUUUUUUCUUUUUGAAAAUGUUUUGAAUUUUUUUUUUAUUUUUUUUUGAAAUAUCUCGGAGAAAAUUAGGUAUUUUAAUACCGGAUUUGUAUUUUACGUGUAAAUAUACAACCCGAUAUUAUACAAAAUUGGUAGAAAAAUAUUCGAGAAAAAUCAAAAAAAUUUUCAAAGAAGUUUUGAGUUUUUUUUAAAAAUAUAAUAAUAACAUAUAAUAUAUUAUUAUAUUAAUACAUUACAAAGAGUUAUGCUGCAGAACGUGAACAGUUACUGUUCAUGUUCUGCAUGCAACCAAAUGGUUGCAGAAGUUGGAGAUGGGCGGAGGAGAAGGCUACCGGGCGCGGUGGUGGUCUGACCACGGAGGAUGUUGUGCGAUGGUGAGACUGGCGGUUGGAACUGGUUGCAGGUGGUAGAGCAGGAAGAAAGAAGGAGAAGAAAAUCUGCAGGAGAGAGGGAUCAGCGGUGUAUGCUUUGCCGCUGAUGAGGAGUUAAGGCGACCGCUGGUAGUGGAGACGGUGAGGGGUUGAUGUGAGGACGGUGGCUGAGGCUGUGGCAGAGAUGGUGGCCGGUGGCAGAGGAAGCAAAAGAAGAAGAAAACGGGAGGGGCUGUAGAGAGGAGAGAGAAACCGACGGUGGCUCUUGGUGGUCAGUUGGUGGUUCUGUUGGCUUCCUGUGGUGGAGCUAAUGGUUGGAAGACCGGUAAUGAGGGUGGUGGUGGCUGAAGGCCACGGUGGAGAGAGAAAGAAGAGAGAGGACUGUGCAGAAACCGAAAAAGCUGGUUUUUUUGCUGACUUUGGACCCGGUUUUCUCCUCCCUCAGGCCAUGAAAUCCAACUUUAUUUAGAGGCGGUGGAAGAGGGAAAUCUUGUCUACACUUGAAAAACAUUUCAGCCCUUGAUUCAGUUGGGAAGGAUCCAAACUGUUGGCUCAAAGUAGGCAUCCUGAGUUGUCAAAUCUGCAGGAAAAGGCUGACUGAGUUGGCCAAUUUAGGCCGGCGCUGCCGCCGUUUGGUUGUCAUUCAGCCUAACCGGGCCAUAUAGGGUUGUAGAGGAUCAUUUGCGUGCAACUUUUGUCAAAUUGGGUGGAUGUUAGGUACAUUAAAUGCAGCUGUAAAAUAGGGAACCGGACCAGCUUUUUUAGAAAAAAUGAAGAAGAUAAUGAACAGUGCUGAGUUUUUUUGGCCAAAGUUCAUUUCAGUCCUCCAUCUUUCAAUUGUUUUCAAUAGAACCCCUAAUUGAACCUAAACCUUUGAUUUAGUGCAAUUUAACUCUUGAAGAAUUUGCAUUAGAGCCCCGAAUUUACGCGUAUUUUGCAGAUUGAUUAUUGGCUGCGAAUUUUGUCAAUUUGACCCUUAAUUGACCCAAAAACUUCAAUUUUCUUGCGAUUUUACCCCUGAUUUCAAUUAAUUAACUUGGUAAAAAUUAAAGUUGGUCUCUUAAAAUUCCAAUCUUCUCAAUUAAGCCCAAAUUAGGUUUCCAAACUUAAUUUUCACCAAUUAAGCCCAAAAUAAAAUUAAUUUGACCAAUUUAAUGUAAAAUUAAGUCCUUGCAUCUAAUUAAAUCCUUUAAUUAGACCCAAAUUAAUUCUUAAACAUAAUUAAAAUUUAAUUUGGCUCAUGAUUAAAUCAAAUUGGCCUAUUAAAAAUUUAAUUAUGUCAUUGGACUUAAUUUUUAUGCAAAUUCGUUCAAUAAUAACUUAAUUUGACUUUGAAUUUGCAUUUUCUCUCUAUUUUUGGACAUAAUAGGGUAAAAUUAGGCCUUAAAUUUUCUUUAAAAUUGCAGCUUGAUUUCCCGGCCUGCUUUCUCCACGUUGCCUGCGUGGUUCAAAAUUUCAUAAAUACAUAAAGUCCAUUUUCUAAACUUAAUUAUGCUGCUUUCUUCUGAAUUGUUCUAUCAAUAACGUAAUAGAAGAGAAGUGUGGAAUAUCAGUAAAGUAGGUAACCCUCCAGGCCUAGAUUUGAAAGAGAUAUUGCCAACCUCAUCAAACCCUUUGCAUGCCUUUUGAUUAGCUUUUGGAUAGACCACAAACUGAAGUUCCUCCAUAUUGAGGAACUCCGAAACUACAAACCUACCACAACAAAACCCACAUAGCAAAAAACAUGCACCAACCAAAAAUCCUAACUUUUCCCUCAUUUUUUCACUAAAAAUCCAAUCUUUCACUCAAAACUUCAAUGGAUCAAGCCAAAAGAAAAGACCCAGUUUUUAGUUUUAUUCUCCCUUCCUGAAAUAACAAGACAGCCAGAAAUAUAAUUUCUGAGAACUAGAGCUAUGGGAUUCUAAUGAGCCGGCACUUGCAAUAAAAUAAUAAAUGAAAAAUACGUGUAAUAAAAUUUUAUUUUGUUGAUAAAAUAUUAUUUGAGAAAUGAUUGCAGCUCCACACUAAAAAAAUUGUCUGCUGGGAAAAUAUAAUGAUAUUCUUGCUUCUCUGUUAAACAAAUUAUCACCUAGAAUAUUUAAAUAUUUAUACAAAAAUCAUUUAUUAUUUCUAAAUAAAAUGGGUAUAAAUAAAUAUUUUUUUAUUUUGCAUAGUGAAAUGACCACAAUAUUAUUGAAAGUAAAUAAUUUAAACCUGGUAUUAUGGGGUGUUUUUAUUUUUUGUAUUUGACCAAAUAUAAAAAAUAAUAAAUAAUUAAAAUGCAUAGUAUAACAACAAAAAUAUUCUUAAAAUCAAAAUGUUUAAGCCUGAGAUCAAUGAGCUUUUUUGUUUUUUCCCAUUAUAUUUUUUGUAAUUAUAAAGUAAGCCCAAGUGUAAUUUCUUAUUUUACUAAAUAAAAAACAGUUGGGCGCGCAUAUACGGCACCUGAAAGGGGAGGCAGAGGUGCCCACGUCUUUUGGGCAAUGCAUAUGACGCCUCCUAACAUAGAAAAAUAUCCUUCCGGAAACGUUGUUGUGUCAUGUUCUUAUUGAUGUGACGCGUGUUGGUAUUGGUGAUCUGACGUGUUUCCAGGGGAUCUUUCUUUCAUUUAUUUCCCUUUAUCUCUCCUUUCCCAAAAACUAUGGCUUGGACCUUUUAGAUAUCGGUAUUUCAUAUACAAUUCUUAUUCUUUUGAUUUUUAAUUUUUUUAUAAUGAUCAUUUUGUAAAAGUUUAUUUGUUUUUAAUUUCAUCAUCCGAUCUGAUUUUAUCAGAUAUUUCAUUCUUUAAUUUCAUCCUUGUUCUUUGGAUUUCUGAUUUUUUUUCCUUGGUUUUUUUGCAAAAGUUUCAGUUGUUUUUAAUUUCAAAUUUAAAUUUAAAUUGAUGGUAUUAUGUUUUCCAACAUAACCCUCAUUAUUUUGAUUUCUAAUUUCUUUUCUUAGCUAUUUUGUAAAAGUUAUUAUUCUUUUCAAUUUCAUCCUUUAAUUUCAACAUUGUUUUUAUUUUUUAUAUCAAUUUUGAUCCUCAUUCUCUUGCUUUUUUUGUCGAUUUACUAAAUUGAAUUUUCUUUUCAAUUUCACCCUUCAAUUAAAUAAAAAUUUUGUUUUGUUUUCAAUUUUAAUUGUUAUUUUUUAAUAAUUUUGUAUAAUUGAACUUCUUUUUUCAAUUUCAUCAUUUUAUAUUUGACUGAUUGGGAAGUGCACUUCAUGGUUUUUUUAAAUUGAGAAAGUUGGGUCUAAUGACUUGGGUGACGGUUUUGGAAAGUUAAAAUAGGAUUGACAGGAUAUCUCUAGCUGACUCGCCACUGAUUAUCAGGAUUAUAGGUUUAUUGUGCCAACUCAAAUUGACCAAUACUGGUUUUUUUAUGUUAUUUUUACCCCGUUUUGUUCUUAUAUAUUUAAUGGGCUAUGGAUCCAUCUACUAUCAGUUCCUGUUUUUUUACAUCUAAUUGAAUUAAAAGCCAACUAAUUCAUCUCAGUUGGGUUUAUGACUCGUGUCAUGUAUUUUUCUUUCUUUUUUAAAAUACACAUGCGAUAACUCACUACCAGAAAAUCGAUAAAUACAAACAAAAAUACCGAAAGAAUAUUUUCGUUGGUAAAUUGCCGAUGGAUUUUACCGACGACAAUAUUCCCUCGGUAUUUACCGACGGAAUUAUAGUGGAAAAAAAAAAUUAAAACAAAGCAAAAAAACAAUGACGUGUUAUUUUUACCAACGAAAUUACCGACGGAAUUUAUUCGGUCGGUAAAUUCAUUGGUAAACUGUUAACACUGUUCAUCAUGUCAAUUACAAUGGGAAUCACCAACGGAAAAUUCUGUCGGUAUUUUCCAGAGAGCUCUGGAACUGUUCACUUCCCAAUUGCACUGUUAAUUAUUGUUCUUUACAGACGGAAUCACCGACGGAUUGAAAAGCCAUCGAUGAUAUUUGACGGUUUCUGAAAAUUUUUGAUUAAAUUGAAAAUUUAAAUUAAAUAUUAUAGACAGAAUCACCGACGGAAUGAUUAAAAAUAUUAAUAUUUAAUUAUCCGUCGGUAAAACGUCCAAUAAAAAGCCUAGAAUCCCUAAUUUCACAAUAGAUGGGGCUUCUUUCUUCUUCUUCCCCUUAUGUAAAAAACAUCAAUAUCCAUUUUUUUCUCUUCUCUUCUCUCCUCAACUCCCUCUCUUCUCUCCAUGCUUAGGUAUGUAUUUUUCUCCUUUCUUUUUUUUUUUUCAAAUUUUUUUAAAAUUAAUAUACUUUACGAAUUUUUAUUUUUUUCCUCUUUUUAAUUUCACUUGCAACCGCAUUAAGGUAAGAAUUUUCUUUUUUCUUUUUUUUUCGUGUUUUUUUUCACUAUAUUUGUUAUUUUAUUUUAUUUUUAAUUGUUUUUGUUCUUGAUAAUUGUAUGAAUAUUAUUGUAGGAUUUGUUUUUCAUAUGAUUUUCUUCUUCUUUUUUCCAGGCGUUUUGAGUAUUAUAGAGUGUUGAUUUAUAUUAAUUUAAUUAUUUUAUAGUUUUGUAAAAUUGAUUUUUUAAAAAUAUUUUUCAAUAAUUACCGACGGAAUGACAUACGGUAUUUUACGAGAAAAAUACCAACGGAAUGAAGUGGAUAAUGUUUUUUUGCGCGCCUUUUCCGUCAGUAAAUCCAUCAGUAAUAAUAUAUAUUUUUUUUAUUACAAAUGAACUUACCUACGGAUAAAAAAUCACUGAUGAAAGAUUCACCGACGGAGCAUUUCCGUCGGUGAUUUUGCUGGUAAAUUAAUUACCAACGGAAAGAUAGUACAAAUACUGACAGAAAAUUCCGUCAAUAAAUCUAAAGAUUGUGGUAGUAACUGAACAUUAUUUUUUAUGAAGAAAAAUAUUGUGGCCUCGCGGCGAAGUGCACGUACCAAGGCUAGGCAAUAUACAAUUAAAUAAAAUAAUUAAAAAAUACAUUUCUCAAUUUUAAUUAAAUAAAAUAAAGUAUUCUCCACGUUGAGGGACAUAGGCCAGGCUAUAUACAAUAAAAGAUGUCACAACACAAAGCAAAACGACGAGUUCGAAGAAAAUCCAUACAGAAAAUAUAUGAGAAUCAAUUGAUAUUAAAAUCAUGUCACUCGAUAAUUGAACAUGAAAAUAUAAUAAAAUAUCAUAUAUUAUAAAGAGAAUUUGUUUUUUUUUUGCAUUAACGAGAUAUAAUUUUAAAGGUAUAGUCUUACAUAAAACUCGGUAAUUUUUCUUAGAGGCUGUAGUUGGGCCUCACUUUGGACCGCUCCUUGGGCUACAGUUCGGGCCUCGGGAAACCCAACAUAACGCCCACUCGCCAUGUGUUAUUGACAUUAAGAAUAUAUAUAUUCUGAAUCAAUCCAAUGUACUCACUAUUAACUAUAAUUUUCUGAUUUUACAACUAAUAAUGGUAUACCCUAGCAUCGUAUCUAUAAUAAUAAUAAUAAUAAUAAUAUAAACUGUGUGGCUCUUAUUCAACGUCUUCCAGUUAAUUAUGAUUGUAAUAGUAUUUUUUUAAUAAAUUUUUAUAUUUAAAUUUUUUCCCUGUACAAUUAAGCCUUUUUAAACAUCCAAUUACAUGCAAUUUUCAAACAUAGUUAAUAAUUAAUGUAAUAAAGAAGAACGCACCACCUGACCUGACCCCACAAACAUGUAAUUUUCAAACAUGUUUAUUGUAAGUGUUAUUAUUAUUAUUAUUAAUAUAUUGGAGGUGACAAGGAAUGCAGUGCACCACGUCACCCUCUAUAAUUCUAUAAUUAAUUAUUUAGUUUUGUUUUCUACUGUAUCUAUACCUGCACAUUGCCUGUAUAUAUAACUCUCUCACCACAGAACAAGUAUGCCUUACAAUUAACCAUCUAAAUGGUGGCCCAGUGGUAAGAGCUUAGAACCAAAAGGUUUGCUUCUUUUGUGGUUUCAGAUUCAAGCCCUGUGGUUGAUCAUAUGAUGGCCACUGGAGGCUUACAUGGUCGUUAACUUCAGGGCCCGUAGAAUUAGUCGAGGUACGCACAAACUGGUCCGAACAACCACGUUAAACUAAAAAAAAAAAAAAAUAUGGCCUUACAAUUCCUUUUAGUAGGUGAUGCAAUUAUUGAUAUUAAUAAUUGUAUUAUUGUAAAAAUAUAAUAUUUUUAAAUUACCAAUAUUUCAUCAAAUAAUACAACAAAAAACAAACUUAAUUUUCAAAUAUUUUAGGGUUCAUCAAAUUAUAUAAUUUAUCAACAAAAUUAUAAUAGUAAUCGAUUAAAAUCUAAAUUAAUCAAAUUAAUCGGUAAAUAUUUAUAUUAAUCAAAUUUUAUUACCGAUUAUCAAUAAUUUUAGCGUCUCCAGCACGUGUGCUUAAUUAAGAUUAUCGUGGAUGAUGUUUUAUAAACUAGCUUUUUCUUAAGAGAAAAUAUUAAAAAUACUAAAAAUAAUAAUUCUAAACUGUAUUAAGAGAAGACGACAAGAGAAAUGUGAAAGAAUGGACAUUACCAUCGGUUCAAUUAACAUGUGCAUGCGUAUGGGCGGCAAGACGUGGAAAUGGCCACCCUCGAGAGUUUAAUAAGAUGCUGACGAAAGAGGAAUCUAAGCAUUUUUAUAUUUUUAACUAUUCCGUCAAUUGGAAUGGUGGUUGUUUUGGCAAUUUUGCUUUGGUCAUCAGACAUCACGGAUUGUUUACAUGUUUUCCGUGCUUUUAAAUUUGGAAUUGUUGGCAAAUAGAUGAGCCAGAUCGAGCUUCCAAGAAAGUUGCUCGGUAUUCUAGUUCCUGUGUAGCGGCAGAGAUGACUGAGUUGCUAUAUUUCCAGCAAACAUGGCAAGAAAUCCGUCCAAAAAUAGGGUUGAACUACUUUGUUUUCUUUCUUAUUUUUCUGUCCUUCAUUCUCUUCUUGUUUAAGCUCACUACAAGUCGCAAACUCAAUUUACCUCCAUCCCCCCCAAAGCUGCCUGUAAUCGGCAACAUUCACCAUUUCGGCACACUGCCACAUCGUUCUUUACAAGCUCUCUCGGAAAAAUAUGGCCCUUU
rnacentral:lncRNA from 1 species